rnacentral:lncRNA from 1 species
GAAUUUAAUUAAAUUGCCUAAUCUACUUCCAGGGAGUGGCCUAGAAACUGGUUAGAAAAAAAAGGGCCUACUUUCUCCUAAAUAGCUGGGGCCAGUGAAUUUUACAGUAACUUGGUUUGGCUUUUCCUUAAACAGGUCCCAAAUUAGCAUUGUGUGGUGCAAUGGAGAGAGUGUAGGUAGGACCCAGAGUCAGGAAGACUUGAGUUCAAAUCCUGUUAUCAGACACUAAGUAGCUUUAUGGCUUUGGGCAAGCCCCUCAUCUCUCUAUGCUUCAAUGUCCUUUUCUGUAAAAUGGAGGUGAGAGCACCUACCUCACAGAAUUGUUGUGAGGAUCAAAUGAGGUAACAUAUGUAGAAUGCUUCAUAAACUUUAAGGCACUAUAUAACUGAUUGUUGUCAUUAUUAUUAGUGGGAAUUCGAUUGGAGGAGGUAAGAAUCAAGUGAGUCAAAGUGAUGAAAGAUACCAAAAUGAUCCUUCAGUGCCAAGGACCAGCGUCAACCUAAGGAAUAUGUGAUGCAGAAGAUACUACAUUUCUUGCGUUCUCAAUUGGGUUGAAAGACUAGGGGAAAAACACCCAACAUUUCUGACCAGUUUUCCUUCAUAUGGAACCCCUUGGGAGCUCUUCAUCAAGGUUACAAGGCAUGUGAAUCUGACCCUUUCCUAUAACAUUUGCAAACGGCUCUGCACAAACAAGAAGACAUUGUUUCUCUCCCUUCUUCAAAUUGCCCACGGGUUUUUUGGUGAUGAAUAGAACUUUUUUCCUGAACCCGGCCAGACUUAACCAUGUCCACUUCUUCCUCCUUUCCUUCUCCUGCCUCCCCACUCCUACUCUCAUCAAAAUAUUCAUUUGAAGACUUGUCAAAUGAAUGGGCCAGGUACUGAUUUAUGGUGUGUGAAAGAUGGACCAUAGGAUCAUAGGGUGAUAAAUUUAGAGUUGUGUGGAACCUUAGAAGUCAUCAAGUCCCACCCACUGUUUUUACAGAUGAGGAAACUGAGAUUCAGAGUUAUUACAUUGAUUUGCUCAAGAUCACUCAGCUGGUAAGUACCCAAAGCAGGAUUAGGCUAGACUAGUGAAAUGGAUGUUCUCAAAAUGCCAGAUUUAGGGCUGGAGAGGAC